rnacentral:rRNA from 1 species
GACGAACGCUGGCGGCGUGCCUAAUACAUGCAAGUAGAACGCUGAAGGAGGAGCUUGCUUCUCUGGAUGAGUUGCGAACGGGUGAGUAACGCGUAGGUAACCUGCCUGGUAGCGGGGGAUAACUAUUGGAAACGAUAGCUAAUACCGCAUAAUAUUGACUAUUGCAUGAUAGUCAGUUGAAAGGUGCAACUGCACCACUACCAGAUGGACCUGCGUUGUAUUAGCUAGUUGGUGGGGUAACGGCUCACCAAGACGACGAUACAUAGCCGACCUGAGAGGGUGAUCGGCCACACUGGGACUGAGACACGGCCCAGACUCCUACGGGAGGCAGCAGUAGGGAAUCUUCGGCAAUGGACGGAAGUCUGACCGAGCAACGCCGCGUGAGUGAAGAAGGUUUUCGGAUCGGAAAGCUCUGUUGUAAGAGAAGAACGAGUGUGAGAGUGGAAAGCUCACACUGUGACGGUAUCUUACCAGAAAGGGACGGCUAACUACGUG